rnacentral:ncRNA from 1 species
GAUCGGGAGGCUUUCGUUGGGAAGAAAGCCGAGAAUUGAUCGAAUUUUGCUGUCUCUUGAAGGGGGCGCGGCUGGUACCCGACAGCGCGUG